rnacentral:rRNA from 1 species
GACGAACGCUGGCGGCGUGCUUAACACAUGCAAGUCGAACGGAAAGGCCCUGCUUUUGUGGGUUGCUCGAGUGGCGAACGGGUGAGUAACACGUGAGUAACCUGCCCUUGACUUUGGGAUAACUUCAGGAAACUGGGGCUAAUACCGGAUAGGAGCUCCUGCUGCAUGGUGGGGGUUGGAAAGUUUCGGCGGUUGGGGAUGGACUCGCGGCUUAUCAGCUUGUUGGUGGGGUAGUGGCUUACCAAGGCUUUGACGGGUAGCCGGCCUGAGAGGGUGACCGGCCACAAUAGGACUGAGGGACGGCCCAGACUCCUACGGGAGGCAGCAGUGGGGAAUAUUGCACAAUGGGCGGAAGCCUGAUGCAGCAACGCCGCGUGCGGGAUGACGGCCUUCGGGUUGUAAACCGCUUUCGCCUGUGACGAAGCGUGAGUGACGGUAAUGGGUAAAGAAGCACCGGCUAACUACGUG